GGGCCGCUAGCUCAGCUGGUAGAGCAACGGACUUUUAAUCCGUAGGUCCCAGGUUCGAGUCCUGGGCGGCUCA
rnacentral:tRNA from 1 species